rnacentral:lncRNA from 1 species
UGUGAAGUAACAGAAAUGUUCCAAUUCCAGAGUUAGCAGCAAUGAAAUGUCUCUGAUCCAGCAACCUGCUGAGAGUGCUUAUUGAACUGGGUGCUGCUCUGCUUGAGGCACAAAAGUAUGAGUGAACAACUUGCUUUUUCCUUAGGUCUGGUUCAUAGAGCUUUCAUUUGUGUUGUCCAGGCCUAUGGACAUACUGGAGUACUUAUCCACUCCCCAUCUCUACAUGCUUGGAAGAUGAUAUGCAGCUUGUUCCUGUCCUGACCAAGGGAAUGCUUCUGCAUCCUUCAAGUCAAGUGCACCUGUGGUGUCAGUUCUGUGUCGAAAACACUGUGGUUAGGAAAGAGACUAAGCCAACUGGAAAAAAAAAUUGUAGGUGAAGUGGCGUAGGUACUUGCAGCAUGAAAGGAAGAUUCAAAGGAGAUGAAACAAGCAAGAAGCAAGGGAAAAAGACAACUGCCACCCAAAAUGUAGCAAUGGGGAAACCUUCUAUAUGGUUUAUCACUUUCCCAGAGGCUAAGAGCCAUGUGCAUACUGCAAAGAGCAAGAGGAGGAUUCUUGUCUCUCCAGCCAGCUGAUACUCAGGUACAUGACAAAAAUAUGAAAUGUGAAAUGCUUGUGAAAACUCAAGAUAUUUUCCAUUAAGACAGUGUUAAGUAGCUGUUAUUGAUAACAAAUUAAGAGUACUGUAGAGUAAUUCUUCCUUAGAAAUGACAUUUGGAGAAUUUUCUUCUUAGGACUUCUCCCUCAUGCAUAGUUUCCAGGGGUUCACAGGCCACCUAUGGCAUUACUUGUUCUCAUGUAACCCUUCUGCUACAAAAACCAUGAGGUGCUAUCAGCAGCCUCCUGACUUUGCUGGUAUUGAGUAAGUACCUCUCCACUGGCACUUUAUGCAGCUACUGUCCCUCAACUGACUGGUGGUAAUUGCUGCUGGGCGCAGCCUACCCAGCUGUCCUUCUGGCACCUGCAGGAGACUGGUUGUAGCUAGGACAUGUGCUUCACAUGCAGGAUGGCCUAAAGAAGGACCAAGAAGGGAGCCCAACUUUGGAGAGCCAGCUGUUGGAAAAACAGACAAAAGCUAUAGGAUUUAGGAACCCCAUACCACAGGUAGCUUUCUAGAGAUUACCUCUGAUAGAUCAUUUAUUUUUCACAUAAGAAACUCUUCAUUGCAAUACACAGAGCUGAGUUUGCUGUUGGAACCAUGACUUGCUGGUGUGUUAACAAUUUUUGGCAUUGGAAGUAGAACAUAUAAAACUGAUUGGUGUUGAAGCUUAUGUCUGGGGGAAAAAAAAAAAAAAAAAAAAAAAAACACACCACAAUUCAUAUCUGAUCUCUUGCUCAGCUUUUACACUUGGGAGGUCUCUGGCUUAUGGUAACCAUCAGAUAAAAUUGGCUGCCAAAAUCAAAAGUCAUAACAAUCUACUUCGCAAACAUGCCAGAUUUGCUGGAAGAACUAAUGCUUGGUCUUCAGAUAUCUGCCUAUACUCUCUUUGUUACUCAGUAAAAGAAUAUUGUGUUCCUGGUUAGGCUUGCUUCUCCCCAUAUUCAGCUGGACCAUUUUCUUUGUCCUGCCUGAGA